GGGUGUAGCUUAGUGGCAGGGUGCCUGCUUAGUGUGCACGAGGUCCUGGGUUCAAGCCCCAGUACCUCCU
rnacentral:tRNA from 1 species